GGGUAGCACUGCUGUCUCGCAGGGAGUCACGUCUCUGGUGUUCCCUGCCCGUAGUUGGCAUGUUUCCCUGCUGGGUUUCCACACUGAGCUCCCAUCUGCCAUUUAAAUAAACUACGGUAGGAUACUUCGACAAAGUGGAACAAAUCGUCAGGUCUCCAGGAACUCGUGUAUUAAAGUGAAUGACAGGCCUCCUCGUCCACGACACAACUGCCAACAACAUUUCCACCCGUGGCGUGUCUCAGUACCUCCAACAGAACCGUUAGCCUUCUCGCCGUCUCUGCAGGUGGAUCCCCAAGCGGGGUUACCUGUCCAUCACCAUUAAGGACCCGCCCCCAGCCUAUAAAGAUCAUUCUAAAUGCACUCUGGUUUAUUUUGGUGGGAUUUCUCUGAGAAGCCCUCCAGUGAGGACAACUAACCCUAGCUGCAGUGCCCAGUACUGGCAUCGCUCCUUCUGGUCAGGGCCCUAUAAAGCUGGAUGGUCCUCGAGACUGGUGUCUGCCUUUGGACCCGCAACCCAUUCUGGAGACAACUCCGACAAGCUGCCUGUGCCUCCCUCACUUGGGAAACCUUUAUUUGUUGGGUUACUCAAGCCGUCUAGUUUGUUUUUACCAUACACAAAGUUUUUGUUUGUUUUUCUUCUUAAAUGGCGUCACCCAGCUAGUUCUGCUAUUCUGUCUCUAUAUAUAUAUAUAUAUAUUGUGGCUGACGGCCGGGGCCCUUAACCAGCCAGGACGCCUCCAAGCUGUGAGGACCGGGAGAGCAAACGUGGCCAGAGCGUUACCUCCUGGGUUGCAGCAGUGCCUAGGAUUCCCGCAGGGCUCCAUUUGAGUUGGAGUUUGGUGCAGCCCUGUUGGGAUCUGUGGGCGCUGCCAGGGGAUGCUAUAGAAGUUGCUGAGCCCUCCUGCGCGGUUCUUCCGCCACACCUGGAAGUGCUGUCAGAAUUAGGCCAUCAAGCACCCGGAGCACUUCCGGGUGCCUUAUAAAAGGGGCCAGCAAACGCUACUCCGGGAGCCUGAGUCGG